rnacentral:rRNA from 1 species
AACGAACGCUGGCGGCAUGCCUAUCACAUGCAAGUCGAACGAGAUCUUCGGGUCUAGUGGCGCACGGGUGCGUAACGCGUGGGAAUCUGCCCUUUGGUUCGGAAUAACAGUUGGAAACGACUGCUAAUACCGGAUGAUGACGAAAGUCCAAAGAUUUAUCGCCAGAGGAUGAGCCCGCGUAGGAUUAGCUAGUUGGUGUGGUAAAGGCGCACCAAGGCGACGAUCCUUAGCUGGUCUGAGAGGAUGAUCAGCCACACUGGGACUGAGACACGGCCCAGACUCCUACGGGAGGCAGCAGUGGGGAAUAUUGGACAAUGGGCGAAAGCCUGAUCCAGCAACGCCGCGUGAGUGAUGAAGGCCUUAGGGUUGUAAAGCUCUUUUACCCGGGAUGAUAAUGACAGUACCGGGAGAAUAAGCUCCGGCUAACUCCGUGCCAGCAGCCGCCGUAA